rnacentral:ncRNA from 1 species
ACCCCAAAACAGAUGAGCUACCUAUGAAUAGACUUAUGGGGCAAACUCAUCAAUGUGGAAAAGUAGUGAGAAGAUUUAUAGGUAGAGGUGAAAAGCCUACCAAGCCUGGUGAUACCUGG